AGGUGCAGUUUUUCACCUCCAUGUACAGAAGAAGAGUUCUCCAGACCUGCUGGCAUUAACGCUGACACAAAAAUACUGUGGUCCUGAGACUCCUGAGGCAGAAGGAUGUGGGUCUGCUGUCCUCUGCGUCACGACUGACCACGUGAGCCGGAUACUGCUGGAGCGGGGAGAGCGUGAUCAGGGCCGACGAUGAAGAGUGGGAUUGUGCAGAGAUUUGGUUGUGAGCGAUGGUGGAGGAGGGGGGCGUUACCGCGGCGAUGCUCCCCUCUUUGGUCAAACUGCAGUGGGCUUAGUGCGCUCCUGAGCCUGGGGACUUUCAAAGGCUGCAGCUUUGAGGGAGGCCGCCCCCAGACUCCUGAUGAUAGUGAGGUGAAUGGAAGCAGGUACGGAGAGCACGUUCCCACAUUACACUGCGCUUUCAAGUCCCCAUCAGGAUUCUGCUGGUAUAUGGUGCCCGUGUUUAAGAUACUAUAAACAGAUUAGGUCAGCCAGUGUGUUUUCAAUAUGUGGAAACUCUGUCAUGUCCAAAAUCAAAUAAGAUGUCUAAUAGUCUGUAUGAUGGUUGUAUAAGUGGUUGAAUAGAGU